GCUGCUGGUUAAAUCCCGACUCAGAUGAAGAAAUCGCUUUCAAAAAAUUUUGAAGAGCAGUCGCUGCACUUUCUACUUCGGGUUGAGAUGGAACAAGGCCGAAAAUAUCCCGAUUCGGAUACUCACUUGCUCUUUUCUCUUCUUUUCCGAGCACCGAGACGUUUCUGGUCAAACUUUCACUGGGAUAAUAAGAAGAAGAAGAAGAAGCAAUAAAAGAUUGUGGAAGGGAUGCCAUGUUAUUGACAGGGACUGGGAAAUUAAGACUAGUAGAAGGAGGUGGAGGAGAUAGAGAGGGGAGGGCAGAUAAAGAAGUGUUGGAAUGGAUCAUAGGAAGGUCAGUAUGCAUGGCUCCUCCUCCCAUCUUUCUCCAGUGUAUGUAAUAGUACUAUCUACUCGAUGUUUCUCGCUCGCUUGGCCUCGUCAAGUG
rnacentral:misc_RNA from 1 species